UAAGGAAUAUUGGUCAAUGGAGGCAACUCUGAACCAGCCAUGCCGCGUGCAGGAAGACGGCCCUCUGGGUUGUAAACUGCUUUUAUUCGGGAAUAAACCUAUCUACGUGUAGAUGGCUGAAUGUACCGAAGGAAUAAGGAUCGGCUAACUCCGUGCCAGCAGCCGCGGUAAUACGGAGGAUCCAAGCGUUCUCCGGAUUUAUUGGGUUUAAAGGGUGCGUAGGCGGCCUAUUAAGUCAGGGGUGAAAGACGGUAGCUAAACUAUCGCAGUGCCCUUGAUACUGAUGAGCUUGAAUGAACUAGAGGUAGGCGGAAUGUGACAAGUAGCGGUGAAAUGCAUAGAUAUGUCACAGAACACCGAUUGCGAAGGCAGCUUACUAUGGUUUUAUUGACGCUGAAGCACGAAAGCGUGGGGAUCAAACA
rnacentral:rRNA from 1 species